UUGAAUUGAAGAGUUUGAUCAUGGCUCAGAUUGAACGCUGGCGGCAGGCUUAACACAUGCAAGUCGAACGGUAACAGGAGAAAGCUUGCUUUCUUG
rnacentral:rRNA from 1 species